rnacentral:ncRNA from 1 species
GUGAUCGGCAUUCUAACGACAGGCCCGAAGCCGAUAUUUCUUCAAUGCGACAACUAAUUACAGAAGCACCGAGAAAGCCGCCCGGGCACGUUGACAGCCUUGCAGAAUCAUGCAAGAGCAAAAGACAGUGAACCGAUCAAUAUUGCAAGUUGCGGGCCUAUUAUUGGCAAACCCUUCUAAUCCGGCAAGCGCAGCGUGGAUUCUUAUUGUUUGUGGAGGCCCCCAACAGGGCUUGGCGUUUCCCAAUGC